GGAUGUGGCUGCGACGACAUUUGUGACCCGAUUGAUCGCCAGGGUCGAUUGGGCUGCUCUGGCUGGCUAGGAGGGUGUCCCCUUCCUCCCUCACCCCUCCACGUGCCUCCGCUGGAAACCGUGCCCAUGUUGGGUAGAGGAAGACGGGGCCUUCCCUCAGCAGAGGUCCAGGGUACAUGAGUAGCAGCGCCCUUGCUCGCUGCCAGAACCUCCAAACAAGCCCAAGGUCCAUUUGCAGGCGAACACGGAGGGUAUUAGCUUCCAAGACUCUGGACGUAAGCAAGUGAGGCGCUUCACGUGGAAGUCUGCCUUUCUUU
rnacentral:snRNA from 1 species